AAACGGAGGUGAAUUCCUCGCCCUACCGUCAAUUUUCCCACCAAAGCUUACGCGGACAUACACCGACUCACACCGUAUACAUAUAGAGGAAUCUUGGGUGAAGUUCGGUUCGGUAUAUCCGGCUGUACCGCGCGCGUCCAUUCCCUAAAGUCGAAGUUUCUCGACUCGUCCCGUAAACAUCACCGGCGAUCGGAUCGUGUCCGAUCCCCGGCCAAUUUACAUGUCACAGUCUCUCUGUCAGGGUGUAAUUUUGACCGUAGUGAAUUUCUCACCCCACCCCUAUCUCCCUAUACCGCCUGUAUCCUGGAGGAUAUAAGGUUACAAAAACUCCUGCGAACGUACGUAAGGUAUAGAAUGGGAUCGGAUAAUUGCGAGCGAAGAAGAAGAAGAAGAAGAAGAAGAAGAGCGAUGUGGGGAGAAUCGACCCGUCGAUUUCAAAAAUAUCCGAUAUAACCCCGGGCAUGAUAUUCCCUCCCCGGAGUGGAGUGAAAAAAUUUUCAUAAAAAAGGGACCCAAGCGUUUCCUAGACUCUGAAAAUAUUUCGAGAUCAAAAAUAUUCGAAAUCAGCGUCGAUUGUGAUUCGCAAAAUUUUUCCUCCCAACGAACGGCUCGGAAAAAAUUAUAGUUUUCGUCUCUCCUUCUUUCUCCCCUUUCUCGCUACGUUUACGCGAUUUCCGGACAAAGUGUUCCCCCAAAAUGUACGAUACAAACGGGCGCACCAACAGUUUUUGACCUGGUGGCGCAGUGUUUCAAAGAAUAUGAAAAAAAUAAAAAAAUAAAAGAAACGAAAAAAAGAAUGAGUAUAAGUUCGCGCGUUUACAAGUCCACGCACCAGCGAGCGGCGGGUAUAUAAAAAUCGCGUGCAAUGCCGCAGACGUGUUGUGGCAGUUGCAAAGAACAUCAUCAGCCAUUCCCCAAACCCGAACCCUGAAAGGUGCGGAGGGUUGGGCCCAACUUUCGAACGACGAAGAGGCGACGCACACGUACGAACGUACGGCAGCGGCGGACGACGUCGCGACGCUCGUUCUUUUUUAUUUUAUUCCAAUUGAUUUUUUUUUUUUUUUUUUUUUUUCUUUCUCUCCUUUCUUUGCAUUUAAUUACCCCGAGGUACGCGGAGCGACGUGCCAACGAGAGUCGUUCGUUCACUACGUAAUAUGAAAAUAACUUCGCCAAGCAACGACCGACAAACGGCGAUUCUAAUCUCAAGAUCUCAACGACAUAGCUGCUGCUCCCCCCUUUUCUUCAUUUUUUCAGCAGUCUCAGUUUAAGUUGCAAGCGGUUACGUGCUGCUUGAAAAUUCAAAUUUGUUCGACUAACCCUUGCGACUAUUUCCCCGGCUGUUGAGGUGCAGGGGAUGAGGAAAAUGGAUAUCAACGUCGUCGAGAAUGACGACAAAAAUUGACACAUGUCAACGAGGUGGGUUAUUAUAUUACUUCGCUUGUAAGAUCGAAGGACCGACGGCGCGAACGCUACUGCGAAAUUUGAAAAUCCGAGAGCCGAUUUUCCCGACGCGUUCGAUCUAUCGAUCGAUUUCGAGGUGAAAGAAAUUUUUAUCGCUCAGGGAAAAGUCAUUUGAAAAAUUUACCCAAAUCAUCAUCAACCACAGAAGUACAGAAACUGUUGAAGAUAUCGAUUUUGAAUUCAACGUGUCUACUGUUCGCUUUUUUUCCUUCCGACAAAUCUUCAUCGAGCUGAUGAGAUGGAAGGAAGAAAAAAAUUUGUUAAAAAAGAAAAUUGGCUGCGGCUAACAAUAGAUUCAGAGCUUUUUCACAGCGAGCGCUUUGAAGAAGCUUAGAAACUAGCGACCUCUGGCAUUCCUACCCGGAUACAGCUAUCUCGUUGGGUAAGAAAGCUUUUACCAUUUGAAGAUCAUAGGGUGAUCUGUUAGACCAACCGUAAAUAACGUGGCUUCCUACUUUAUCCGUAGAACCCGACUUCCGGAAAGCUCUGGCGUACAAAGAAUAAAACCCGUCGAUAACGCGACCAAGAACCGGCCAAAAGAACCUCCAUCCGAGUGGCGGUUGGUUUUGGCCGUUUGUUCGCUCCGAGAAUCGAAAAAUGAAUUUUUUUCAACAAGUUGCGUUUCGCCAGGAUCCUCCUCAUAUUCAGAAAUUUAAUUAACGCAUUACUAACGAGUAUAUUCGAAGCAAUCUCCGGAGAAACAGAUGAAAAUAAUUUUCAAUAAGUCGAAAGUAUCUCCUUCAAUUCUCCGAUCUUACCGUACGCGGUUGUACCGGAGAAGCCUUUUGGGCGUGCCUCGCGAUGCUUUGACUUCUCUUCGCUUCCAUCUAGCAUCUCCGACUCUGCUUCUAAUGGAUCAUUGACACGAGGAGGCGAGAGAGGGGUAGGGCAAGAUCGCUUUUUGCUUCUCCUCGUAAAACGCCGGACAGUUUCUCUCUGUUUAUCGUAUCCCUCUUUCCCGACUACAUUUACCGUCAACAAGCUGAAUAUGUAUCGAUUUCGUUUUGACUAUUUUCCUAGCUCUGAACAAACAGGGAAAGAUGAAUAAAAGAAAUGUAUAGCGUCAGAGGUACGAGCGGGACAGAGGCGCAGUAAAAAUAACGUGUGAAAAAAAUUGAUCUGUCGCCGAUCGGUCGUAUUUAUCUCGUUAGCCAUAGCCAGAUGGUCGGAAAGUUGCACGGAUGCGAAAACGCACUAAAAUCUCGUAUAUAUGUACUCAAGUGCGUACGUAAAACACACGCUUCUAUAUACCCGUAUAAAAAUACACGUAUGCAGUUCCGGUGUUGCGAGCGAAGUCGUUGAACAAUCUUCGUCGGAGCGCAGCGUGUUACGAAUCCUUCGCGAUCUUCCGCUACGAACGAAUCAUCUCGUGCAAUAAAGUCCCGCGCCGCCUGCAGUCUGUUCCCGCACUUUUUGGGGGUCUUCUUUUCCUCCGUUAUUAUCAUUAUUCCGCUUUUUCUCCUCCCGCUGUACAGUCUCCAUUCUUUUUUUUUUCGUGUUUUUUUUCAUUUUUUUUGCUUUUUUGCCGGGAGGCAGCUUAUAAACCUCACGAGGAGAGAAUAUAACGUAUCCAGUUGCGGACCGCGUAAUGUCUUCCUCCGCUUCAGGAUGUUGUUCGUUUUUAUAAUCCAUUUUUUAUUAUUUUCUUUGUUUUACGCGCGGUCACCAAAUCCAUCCGCGAAUUAGUAUAGCGUAUUAAAUGUGUAAGGGAGUGUAACGCGAGUGAACCUUACGGAUUAAAAUGAAUCUUCUUAAUUUCUUUACCUGUAUGUUUUUACCUUCGGGAUCGAGUUGUCGGUUCGCUAAUUCGGAUGGAUUUAGCUUCCGGUGGGUCAAAUUUUCUUCCGAAUUAAUCGUCUAAAUCUAAAAAUAAAAUGGCCUGUAAUCUCCGACGCUGUUAUUAGCGCGUUUGCUGGAGUCGUGCACGUACGGCGAAGCUGCGAUACGGGUACGCCUGCAGGAUGAAUGAAUGAAGUAUAAGGUGAGGUGUUCUAUAAAGCAUUAUUCCAGCUAACAAGUUGGAAGUGUGCAUCGGGUAUAUAACUGCAAUCUCCGUACUUCGCCGUGAGUUAAAAUUCAACGCGACGUCACCCCGUAGAUAAAUUAUGUACCUGGAGCAGCGGCGGCAGGAGCAGCAGCUCUCUAGAGUUUGCUGUAGCUGGUACAACUACAAGAGCUGUACGGACAGGAAGGCAGGCUGGCGCGCCUAACCUGUUCUCAUUUUUAUUAGGCGCAUCAGGUUUCAGUGCAGCCCCCGGUAAACGAACCGGUGACGUGAAUUUUUUGAAAAAUCAAACGUGGAACGAGUCAAAAUUCGUGGAAAAGUCGCGGAAGCGGAG